rnacentral:rRNA from 1 species
UACAGAGGGUGCGAGCGUUAAUCGGAAUUACUGGGCGUAAAGCGUGCGUAGGCGGCGGGGUAAGUGAGGUGUGAAAUCCCAGGGCUUAACCCUGGAACUGCACUUUAUACUGCCUUGCUCGAGGGCUGGAGAGGAGACUGGAAUUUACGGUGUAGCAGUGAAAUGCGUAGAGAUCGUAAGGAAGACCAGUGGCGAAGGCGAGUCUCUGGAAAGCUGCUGACGCUGAGGCACGAAGGCCAGGGGAGCAAACGGG